rnacentral:rRNA from 1 species
UACGUAGGGGGCUAGCGUUGUCCGGAAUCAUUGGGCGUAAAGCGCGCGUGGGCGGCCCGGUAAGUCCGCUGUGAAAGUCCAGGGCUCAACCCUGGAAAGCCGGUGGAUACUGCCGGGCUAGAGUCCGGAAGAGGCGAGUGGAAUUCCUGGUGUAGCGGUGGAAUGCGCAGAUAUCAGGAGGAACACCGGUGGCGAAGGCGGGUCUCUGGACAGUUCCUGACACUGAGACACGAAGGCCAGGGGAGCAAACGGG